rnacentral:rRNA from 1 species
AGAGUUUGAUCCUGGCUCAGGACGAACGCUGGCGGCGUGCCUAAUACAUGCAAGUCGAGCGCGGGAAGCAAACAGAUCUCCUUCGGGAGUGACGUUUGUGGAACGAGCGGCGGAUGGGUGAGUAUCACGUGGGCAACCUGCCUGUAAGAUCGGGAUAACUCGCGGAAACGUGAGCUAAUACCGGAUGAAGUCUUACGCCACCUGGCGUAAGGAUGAAAGAUGGCCUUUGUGCUAUCACUUACAGAUGGGCCCGCGGCGCAUUAGCUAGUUGGUAGGGUAAUGGCCUACCAAGGCGACGAUGCGUAGCCGACCUGAGAGGGUGAUCGGCCACACUGGGACUGAGACACGGCCCAGACUCCUACGGGAGGCAGCAGUAGGGAAUCUUCCGCAAUGGACGAAAGUCUGACGGAGCAGCGCCGCGUGAGUGAUGAAGGUCUUCGGAUCGUAAAACUCUGUUGUCAGGGAAGAACAAGUGACGUUCGAAUAGGGCGUGACCUUGACGGUACCUGACCAGAAAGCCCCGGCUAACUACGUGCCAGCAGCCGCGGUAAUACGUAGGGGGCAAGCGUUGUCCGGAAUUAUUGGGCGUAAAGCGCGCGCAGGCGGUCCUUUAAGUCUGAUGUGAAAGCCCACGGCUUAACCGUGGAGGGUCAUUGGAAACUGAGGGACUUGAGUACAGAAGAGGAGAGUGGAAUUCCACGUGUAGCGGUGAAAUGCGUAGAGAUGUGGAGGAACACCAGUGGCGAAGGCGACUCUCUGGUCUGUAACUGACGCUGAGGUGCGAAAGCGUGGGUAGCAAACAGGAUUAGAUACCCUGGUAGUCC